UGCGUAGGUGGCGCCGUAAGUCGGAUGUGAAAUUUCGGAGCUUAACUCCGAAACUGCAUUCGAUACUGCGGUGCUUGAGGACUGGAGAGGAGACUGGAAUUCAUGGUGUAGCAGUGAAAUGCGUAGAGAUCAUGAGGAAGACCAGUGGCGAAGGCGGGUCUCUGGACAGUUCCUGACACUGAGGCACGAAGGCCAGGGGGAGCAAACG
rnacentral:rRNA from 1 species